rnacentral:rRNA from 1 species
AUACAGAGGGUGCGAGCGUUAAUCGGAUUUACUGGGCGUAAAGCGUGCGUAGGCGGCUUUUUAAGUCGGAUGUGAAAUCCCCGAGCUUAACUUGGGAAUUGCAUUCGAUACUGGGAAGCUAGAGUAUGGGAGAGGAUGGUAGAAUUCCAGGUGUAGCGGUGAAAUGCGUAGAGAUCUGGAGGAAUACCGAUGGCGAAGGCAGCCAUCUGGCCUAAUACUGACGCUGAGGUAACGAAAGCAUGGGGAGC